CGCGUUAGUAAGAGAGAUAAGACUUUGUUUUUCAACUCAACUUCAAUGUUAUUACGAAUAAAUAUAUUCUUAGUAAAACCGCAAAACCAAGUCAGUUCGCAAAACCCUCAGCCUGAAGCUAUUAGGUCAACUACAAUAUUGCAAAGAGGCGGAGGUGCCAAGAAAGUACCAGACUAACAAAACCCACAACCGUCCACAUCACGACAAAACGAUGGAUACAACGACGACGAGUUAGCUAAAUUGUUCGCAAAGUAUCAGUAUCAGUUCGAUAAACAGAGUUUAAAAGAAUAUAAAAAAUCACAGCGUAAAUAAAACAAAACUUCAUCAAAAGGCAGUGAAUUUGUGUAAUGCAGCAGAAACUAUUGAAAUUCUUGGGCACUUUUUAGGAUUUUGACAAAUAUUUAGUUCAACAGCAGAAAACUUGUUUACAGUUAUUCGAAAUCAUCUAGAACCUUUAAAUUAGACUUAAAAAACAUUCGUGGCCAGAGCUAUGACAAUGGAGCCAACAUGAGAGGAAAGCACAAAGGGUUACAAAGAAAAAUUUCAGAUAAAAAUCCUAGGCCGUUUUAGUGCCAUGCGCUGCACACAGUUUCAAUUUGGUUGUAAAUGAUGCAGCUAAUAUAAAUAUUGAAACAGUCAAUUUUUUCAGUUGUGUACAAGAACUUUACACAUUUUUUUCAUCAUCGACACAACGUUGGAAUAUAUUAAAAAAUUCUCAAUUCAUUUAACAUUAAAACUAGUUUUGGUAAGAUAUUCAAUUUUAUAAAUUAUAAAUUUUAUCAAUGACAUUUUUAAAUUUAAAGAUAAGAUCCCUUCAUCGCCAGGGAAAUUAUCUUCAACGCCAGGAAGAUUAUCUGCACCCCAUGUUGGAGCACCUGCUGAUAUUGUGGAUCUUAGGAAAAACGAUUACGCAACUACUCGACUAACAACGAUGAGGAGCAAUUGAUUGAAGGAACAAUGCAUUAUCCUUUACUCUAAGGGCGAGCGGAGGCUGUGGAUGAUGACGCGGUAUCGUGACUUCCAGAAUGAACAAAUACUGUGCAAGUGGUGCGCCAGGCAAGAGAGAAAGGUGCACGACGGAAAUUUUGCACCGAGCCAAUCUCAACUGCCCGAGGAGGUACCACCUGGGAAGACAGAAGGUGCGGUAUUACUCGGCAAGACGAGUUACAAUCUUCAUGGAGUCAGACGACGAUCGGAUGUCCAAAGCAGAA